AUAAAGUUUAAUUCUAGCUUAAAGAUUUAUUUAAUUUUUUUUUUACAUGUAAUUUUUUGAAUGUUUAAAAAGUUAAUUUUAAUAGUUGAUUUUAUAGAUUUUAUUCGCAGUAUAAAGUUUUAAUAAUUUAAGAAAUUAAGAAUUAUAAAUAAAUUUUAAUAUUGACAAAUUUUGUGCCAGCAGUUGCGGUUAUACAGAAAAUGUAAAUAAAUUUUAUUAGUUAAUAAUUAAAUGUAUUAAUUUAAAAUAUAAUUAUAUUUAUUAAGUGAAAUUUUAAAUAUAAAUUUAAUUUUUAAGAAAUAUUUUGUUAUUAUGAAAUUUAUUUUUAAACUAGGAUUAGAUACCCUAUUAUUUUAAAUGUAAAUUAAUAUACUAAAUUAGUAAUAGUUAUGUUCUUUAAAUUUAAAGAUUUUGGCGGUAUUUUAGUCUAUUCAGAGGAACCUGUUCUAUAAUUGAUAAUCCACGAUUAAUUAUACUUAAUUUGAAAAUUUGUAUAUCGUCGUUUAUAAAUGAUUUUAAAAGAAUUUGAAUUUUUAAGAUUUUAAAUUAAAAAAUAUAUCAGAUCAAGGUGCAGUUUAUAUUUAAGGAGAAAUGGGUUACAAUAAAUUUAUUUAUAUGGAUUUGUAUAUUAAAUUAUAUAAUAAAGGUGGAUUUGAUUGUAAUAAAAUUAAAUUAAAUUUUAUGAUUUUAGCUCUAAAAUAUGUACAUAUCGCCCGUCGCUCUUAUUCUAAAAUAAGAUAAGUCGUAACAUAGUAGAUGUACUGGAAAGUGUAUCUAGAAUGA
rnacentral:ncRNA from 1 species